AGUAAUAUGUCUGAUUUAAGUAAUAGACUGUAAAUUUAUUUAAAGAAAUUAAUUUCUUAUUACUA
rnacentral:tRNA from 1 species